AGAGUUUGAUCCUGGCUCAGGAUGAACGCUGGCGGCGUGCUUAACACAUGCAAGUCGAACGGAACUUGUUAAGCUGAAACUUCGGUCGAUUCUUUUCGAGUUUAGUGGCGGACGGGUGAGUAACGCGUGGGUAACCUGCCUUGUACUGGGGGAUAACAGCCAGAAAUGGCUGCUAAUACCGCAUAAGCGCACAGAGCUGCAUGGCUCAGUGUGAAAAACUCCGGUGGUAUAAGAUGGACCCGCUGUUGGAUUAGCUAGUUGGCAGGGCAGCGGCCUACCAAGGCGACGAUCCAUAGCCGGCCUGAGAGGGUGAACGGCCACAUUGGGACUGAGACACGGCCCAGACUCCUACGGGAGGCAGCAGUGGGGAAUAUUGCACAAUGGGGGAAACCAUGAUGCAGCGACGCCGCGUGAAGGAAGAAGUAUCUCGGUACGUAAACUUCUAUCAGCAGGGAAGAUAAUGACGGUACCUGACUAAGAAGCCCCGGCUAACUACGUGCCAGCAGCCGCGGUAAUACGUAGGGGGCAAGCGUUAUCCGGAUUUACUGGGUGUAAAGGGAGCGUAGACGGCUAAGCAAGUCUGAUGUGAAAGGCUGGGGCUCAACCCCGGGACUGCAUUGGAAACUGUUUGGCUUGAGUGCCGGAGGGGUAAGCGGAAUUCCUAGUGUAGCGGUGAAAUGCGUAGAUAUUAGGAGGAACACCAGUGGCGAAGGCGGCUUACUGGACGGUAACUGACGUUGAGGCUCGAAAGCGUGGGGAGCAAACAGGAUUAGAUACCCUGGUAGUCCACGCCGUAAACGAUGAAUAAAAGGUGUCUGGGGAGCAAAAGCUCUUUAGGUGCCGCCGCAAACGCAUUAAGUAUUCCCACCGGGGGAGUUCGUUCGCGAGAAUGACUCUCAAGAUGUAUUGGCGGGGACCCGCACAAGGGGGUGGCGCAUGUGGUUUAUUUCGGAGCAACGCGAAGCACCUUCCCUAGUCUUGACAUCCCCCUGACCGGUACGUAGCGGUUCCUUUCCUUCGGGACAGGGGAGACAGGUGGUGCAUGGUUGUCGUCAGCUCGUGUCGUGAGAUGUUGGGUUAAGUCCCGCAACGAGCGCAACCCUUAUUGUUAGUUGGUCCCAUUAAGUUGACCACUCUAGCGAGACUGCCCGGGUUAACCGGGAGGAAGGUGGGGAUGACGUCAAAUCAUCAUGCCCCUUAUGUCUAGGGCUACACACGUGCUCCAAUGGCAAGUACAAAGAGAAGCAAUACUGUGAAGUGGAGCAAAACUCAAAAACUUGUCUCCGUUCGAAGUGUAGGCUGAAACUCGCCUACAUGAAGCUGGAGUUGCUAGUAAUCGCGCAUCAGAAUGUCGC
rnacentral:rRNA from 1 species